rnacentral:rRNA from 1 species
GGGUGAGUAACGCGUGGGAAUYCUACCGUGCCCUGCGGAAUAGCUCCGGGAAACUGGAAUUAAUACCGCAUACGCCCUACGGGGGAAAGAUUUAUCGGGGUAUGAUGAGCCCGCGUUGGAUUAGCUAGUUGGUGGGGUAAAGGCCUACCAAGGCGACGAUCCAUAGCUGGUCUGAGAGGAUGAUCAGCCACAUUGGGACUGAGACACGGCCCAAACUCCUACGGGAGGCAGCAGUGGGGAAUAUUGGACAAUGGGCGCAAGCCUGAUCCAGCCAUGCCGCGUGAGUGAUGAAGGCCUUAGGGUUGUAAAGCUCUUUCACCGGAGAAGAUAAUGACGGUAUCCGGAGAAGAAGCCCCGGCUAACUUC